AUUGGUGAAAAUUGUUGUUCAUCUUAUUUUCCAUUGAUUAUUCAAUGUGGUUCGAGUUUGGAAUAUUUAGAUGAUUACUGAAGGCCUAUUUUCUCAGUUUUUUGUACAAAAAAAUUGAUAGAUUAAGUUUUGGUUUAAUAAGUGUGCAGGACGGUUGACAAUGCUUGUUACUGUUUUUAUCUUGCGGAUGCAUAUAACUAGAAUCAACUCUUUAUGCUGGGAAUUGAUACUCAAAUCCCACAAGGAUUCAAAAUAGGAGAGACCAAAUGAGGUGGCGUUGAAACUGCAGGAGCACUUCUAAGACUUUCUUUUAAAUGUGAUCGUAUAGUGGUAUAAGAACACAGGUGUAAUUUUUAGUUGUAUUGCCUUUAUAUCGUCAGGUAUGCUUCGGGGUAUCCAUUCAGGUAUUAGUUGAUGACAGAAUUAUUUCGUAAUGCUAAUUUGCUGAGCGGUCACCAUUCCGUUUUGUAGCACGUGAUUGCAUGUGUCGGAUGCUUAUAUCACAUUGAAGGAUUUUUUUUGGUGUGUGUUACAUGGUAAACCACGUGGUCGAAACUUGAUUUGAGGGAGCUAUUAGAGUUCAGAUAUUGUAUACUUACAUGGUGUGAGUUAUGGUAACUGUUGUCACAGUUAAUUUAUAUACAACCUUGGUUUUACUUGUGGAUUGGAAGCCUCAUUUGGUGUUUCUUGGUUAUUCAUCCUUAGGUGGUAUCUUUUUGACUUUUGCUGCAAACUAUACAUAAACAUUAGCAUUUCUUUUUAUCCCCUCUCCCUAAACUGCAAAAUGUAGAAUGUAAGGUAGUAAAGAACUAAAGAUAUGCAUUUAUUUUAGGUGAAGUGCGAUAAGUGCAAAAAGCCAGAGUCUGAUAUAGUUAGUCAUUAGGGUCGUAAGAGGGCUUAAAGUUUAAUUCAUAUGUCUGUGUGCUGUUUUUUCAGGCUGAAACUAAACUGAACUAUUUGUAUCGUCAUGAGUUUUUACAGCAGGUGAGUCAAGAAACAGGUAAUGCAUAUGACAGUUACUGGAGACAGGGUUCCGCUUCUUCCCAAAAUCAUUGUGUCAGCCGUCUCUAAAUUUCAAAAAACCUUGGACUCAAAUCCAAUUCCUUGUGAAAAUUCCCAUGGCAUUCAGCAGACUGCUUACUCUCAAGAACCUACUUCACAUUUUCCUGCUACACAUCAUGGUGCUCAGAAAUAUGCCUCAGUGUUGCAAUCUGGUUCCUUAAUGGAUACACGGGAGAAAACAAACCAUUGAUCGCGGCAAAUCCCAGAGUUCCUCAGAUUCUUUAUUAUUUCAGAUGAUUACAAGGAUGUCAUCUGAUGGUACACUUUUCACUAGAUUGGGAUACAGAACCACUUUCCUAUUACCAGAGAGAGCAUGGAUGCAAUGAGUACAAAGUUGCAGAGCGCCUCAACCGCCGUUUCUUCUUUACCUAAGUACAAAAGAAGUAUAAGUAUACGCAGCAUAAGUAGGUGGGAGCCAAUAUCUGAGGAUAAGUUGGUUGAGAAAUUGUCAUCUGUUACUCAUAUUUCAGAGAAAUCUGCUACCUGGAAUCAUGCUAAAAAAAGGACAAAAUGGUUUCUAAUGGAAAAUGGAUGAGAAAUGACAGUAUAUGGACUAUGCGAAGUUUGUUCCAUAACAACAGCAAGUUCCUGGUAAAAAUAAUAAGAGGUCAGGGACGAAGUGGUUCUAAGGCUGCUCAUAAGGAUAUCACACAGGCGCAGGCCGCGCAGCAGCAUUAGCGAAUUCUCCAGACGAGAAGCAAAAGCUUGAGGACCAUUACUAAACCCACUAACUAAUAGAGGACCACAAGCAGAGAUUAAGCUUUUCUGAUCAGAACCCGCUUCUGCUACCGUGUACCUGUAUGCUAGGAAGGCCAGCAUUCUGGCGCUUAGCAGAAGUUAUGAGGAUAGUGAAAGCAGAGCAGUGGAAGAUAUAUUGAUCCGGAUUCUCUUACUGGUAAAGAAACCUGCCAGAAAAUUGAGAAUAUUUACCUGCACCUCAGGGACGGGCCUAGCAAGGGGCUAAGUGAGGCUAUAGCCCGUCCCUUAAUUUGGUUAGAAAAUUUUGAAGUAUAUAUAUUCAUCUGAUUUUUAAAGUGAAAACUACAG